CCUACGGGUGGCAGCAGUGGGGAAUCUUGCGCAAUGGGCGAAAGCCUGACGCAGCGACGCCGCGUGGGUGAUGAAGGCCUUCGGGUUGUAAAGCCCUGUGGGGAGGGACGAAUAAGAGCCGGCUAAUACUCGGCUCGAUGACGGUACCUCCUUAGCAAGCACCGGCUAACUCUGUGCCAGCAGCCGCGGUAAGACAGAGGGUGCAAACGUUGUUCGGAAUUACUGGGCGUAAAGCGCGUGUAGGCGGCUCCGCAAGUCGGGUGUGAAAGCCCUCGGCUCAACCGAGGAAGUGCACUCGAAACUGCAGAGCUUGAGUCCCGGAGAGGGUAGUGGAAUUCUCGGUGUAGAGGUGAAAUUCGUAGAUAUCGAGAGGAACACCGGUGGCGAAGGCGGCUACCUGGACGGUGACUGACGCUGAGACGCGAAAGCGUGGGGAGCAAACAGGAUUAGAUACCCUAGUAGUCC
rnacentral:rRNA from 1 species